rnacentral:rRNA from 1 species
UGGCGGACGGGUGAGUAACGCGUGGGUAACCUACCUCAUACAGGGGGAUAACAGUUGGAAACGACCGCUAAUACCGCAUAACCCGCUAGUAUCGCAUGAUACAGACGGAAAAGAUUUAUCGGUAUGAGAUGGACCCGCGUCUGAUUAGCCAGUUGGCAGGGUAACGGCCUACCAAAGCAACGAUCAGUAGCCGGCCUGAGAGGGUGAACGGCCACAUUGGGACUGGGACACGGCCCAAACUCCUACGGAAGGCAGCAG